rnacentral:tRNA from 1 species
GCGGGAGUAGCUCAGUGGUAGAGCAUCACCUUGCCAAGGUGAGGGUCGCGGGUUCGAACCCCGUCUCCCGCU